rnacentral:rRNA from 1 species
UACGUAGGGUGCGAGCGUUGUCCGGAAUUAUUGGGCGUAAAGAGCUUGUAGGCGGUUUGUCGCGUCUGCUGUGAAAAUCCGGGGCUCAACCCCGGACUUGCAGUGGGUACGGGCAGACUAGAGUGUGGUAGGGGAGACUGGAAUUCCUGGUGUAGCGGUGGAAUGCGCAGAUAUCAGGAGGAACACCGAUGGCGAAGGCAGGUCUCUGGGCCAUUACUGACACUGAGGAGCGAAAGCGUGGGGAGCGAACAGG